UAAAAUCCCUCCCUCUCCCCCCAACUUUCACCUAAAUAUCUCCGUAACGCGAGAGUGCAGAGAAACAUACAAGGGUUUUUUCUUCGGCACAUAUUAAUCAUCCAUCAAUUGCGAGCAAAGACAACCAAAUAUCAGCGCAGGUUUAAGGGUAACUCAAAAUGGCGGGAAGAAAUAGAAGUAUUCGUGAAAAUUUUAAUGACCGACGGGGGUUACCUGCUGAAAGACAUUUCAUCCCUGGCCCUCCUUUGCAGCAGCCACCUCCUCACCCUGCCUUAUUGGAAGAAGAGCUUGAAUUACAGCAUGCUGAAAUCCGGAGGCUCUUGAAUGAUAAUCGCAGGCUUGUUGAGGAUCGAAUGGCUUUGCAGCGAGAGCUUGGUGGUUCAAAGGAGGAGCUUCAUCGCAUGAACCUUGUCAUUGCUCAAAUUCGCAAAGAACAGGAGAUGCACUCUAGGGAACUGAUCGAGAAAGGGCUAAAGCUUGAGGCAGAUCUUCGUGCAACUGAUCCUUUGAAAAAGGAAGCUGCACAACUCCGUUCAGAAGUUCAGAAGCUUAAUAACAUUAGGCAGGAACUUUCUGGACAAGUUCAGAAUCUCAAGCAAGACCUUGCAAAAUUGCAAGCAGAUAAUCAACAGAUUCCUGUUCUAAAAGGAGAGAUUGAGGGACUGCACCAGGAACUUAUGCAUGCUAGAGCCGCCAUUGAUUAUGAGAAGAAGGCAAACUUUGAAUUGGUGGAGCAGAGACAGAACAUGGAGAAGAACUUGGUUUCAAUGGCACGUGAAGUUGAAAAGCUCCGUGCAGAACUUGCUACUGUUGAUGCUAGACCAUGGAGUGCUGGGGGACCAUAUGGAAUGAAGUUCAACAGUCCAGAUGGGGCUUUUCCUGCGCCUUAUGGAGAUGGAUAUGGUGGUCAUUUGGGUGCUGCUGAGAAAGGCCCUCUGUACGGCCCAGGUCCUGCUUCAUGGGAGAAAUCUCGCCUGACUCGUCGUUGAGAUGGAUAAUCAUGGUUGGAUUAAACAAAGGGGAAGUUGUUACUCUUUGAUGCUUGUUUGCCACUCUCACAUGGUGGAGCAGCAAGUGUCUGUCAUCUGUGUAUGCUUGCCAGAUCAGUAGAUUUUAUCUGAAUCCAUUUCUAAUGUUCCAUGAGGUACGCAUAUUUGUGAAAAUAGGGGACCAAAUCAGAUGUCUCCUCUUCCAUGUGAAAGAAGUAUAUGUUUUGUAGAUUGGACAGGAAGGAGGAUAAGAUAUACACCAGUACGCAGGCACAAUGAAGUUAUUUGUGUCUUAUGUUUGGUGCAUGCAAGGCUCUAUGGAGCAUUACGAGUCAUAUGGCUUGAUAAGUCAUUUUUCACUGAAUUUUUAAUAUGAUGACAAGGAGUAUGUUUAUAUCCACUAAACCCAAGAUUGGAUAAUGUCAUCUUACUCCUUCAGAUGGUACACCAACUGUGCUUUUUGUUGUACUUCUCGCAUGAUGUGACAGACCAUGGCACUGGGGGAGGCUGGAGGAGGGGUGAGAGGGAGAGAGGAGUGGAAAAGACAAUCUGUGGUUGCAGGGGAAACCCAUAAAUAUCUAGUUCAAGACUAAAGGAGAGUCAUGAGAAAAUUUCUCAAUAUUUGGUGUGUUGUUGGAGUUGCACAUAAAUGGGUGGUUCAGAGGGAAUUGUGUCUAUCAGCACAAUGUUUUGCCGCCCAUUUAAAGGAAAAUGUAUACUUUUUCUUGUCAUAAACAACACUAAUAGGUUUUUCGAAUCACUGGUAAAUAAAAUAGAUAAUGGUAAUGGGAGAUAAAUAAAUAAAUAAAUAAACAGUAUUUCUUGUGUAAGAUGAUACGUGAGGCAUGUAUGAAGCUGUGUUUUUUGUCUUA